UACGUAGGGCGCGAGCGUUGUCCGGAAUUAUUGGGCGUAAAGAGCUUGUAGGCGGUUUGUCGCGUCUGCUGUGAAAAUCCGGGGCUCAACCCCGGACUUGCAGUGGGUACGGGCAGACUGGAGUGUGGUAGGGGAGACUGGAAUUCCUGGUGUAGCGGUGGAAUGCGCAGAUAUCAGGAGGAACACAGAUGGCGAAGGCAGGUCUCUGGGCCACUACUGACGCUGAGAAGCGAAAGCAUGGGGAGCGAACAGG
rnacentral:rRNA from 1 species